rnacentral:sRNA from 1 species
UUACGCUCAGCCCGGGGAGGGGACCCCGAAA